CGAAAGUGUGGAGUGAUCUGUGGAUUCCAACUACACCGGCUCGUACACCGAUCAGUAGGCUGGAAGCCACGGAUCCCAACCUCUAUGUUAAUGAGCUGAUUGACCCGAUCUCUAAGACUUGGAACAUGGCUAAGCUCUAGGAUUUGAUAGCGCCAGAAGACAUACCCCGCAUCUUGGGGUUACAUCCGAGUUUAUCAUUCUCGAGAGAUUCUUACAUUUGGGCUCAUACAAAAUUUGGCAAUUACUCUGUCAGAUCCGGCUACUGGGCACCGAAAGCUAGCCCGCGAGGAGAUUGUGACCUUCCUUUUCAGGGACCCAGUGUUAGCGCACUACAUGCACAAUCAUGGAAAAUCCAAU
rnacentral:lncRNA from 1 species